rnacentral:rRNA from 1 species
CGGAGGGGCUAGCGUUGUUCGGAAUUACUGGGCGUAAAGCGCACGUAGGCGGCUUUGUAAGUUAGAGGUGAAAGCCCAGAGCUCAACUCUGGAACUGCCUUUAAGACUGCAUCGCUUGAAUCAUGGAGAGGUUAGUGGAAUUCCGAGUGUAGAGGUGAAAUUCGUAGAUAUUCGGAAGAACACCAGUGGCGAAGGCGACUAACUGGACAUGUAUUGACGCUGAGGUGCGAAAGCGUGGGGAGCAAACAGGAUU